AUAAUAAACAAGAUAAGUUGAUAAAAGAUGUAAAAUCAAACUUAAGAUUUUUUAUUUCACGUAAUUUUAAUGUUAAACUAAAAGACUUCUACGGUUUUGCUUGAAUUUACGGAAAAAAUGUUGUCGUAUGCUUAUCGCUCCGAAUCACACCGACGCUUGAUCAGCCAUGGCGAAGGAGAUGUCAACAGCUGACGACGGAGAAACGUAUUUUUGUUUAAAAUACAAAUGGUAUCGGGACAAAGACAAAACGAGCAAAAAGAUAAUGGUUUCUAACGGAGACUCAGAGCAUAGAAUCUGUUUCAAUCAAAAUUUUUAAGAGAGAUAAAAAAGAUAGCCUCAGGAUGAUUUGCUGUAGUGAGCACAUUAGUCUUGGUUCAUGGGGGAAUGUUUAUUUGAGGCUGACCUGUCUUCUGCAAAAUUAAUGUACUUGUAUUGAUAUACCAGCUGCUUGUGUGGUUUGAAGAUUAAUGGAAGAUGCACCAGCAGACUCAUUCCAACUCGUGUCAUUACUGUCCACAAUGUGGCUUACUUUGUCCUUACACAAAGUGACACCUACCAAAGAAAAUGAAGGCAUGUACUCAU